rnacentral:rRNA from 1 species
UACAGAGGGUGCGAGCGUUAAUCGGAAUUACUGGGCGUAAAGGGUGCGUAGGUGGUUUUGUAAGUUAGAUGUGAAAUUCCUGGGCUUAACCUGGGGACUGCGUCUGAUACUGCGAAGCUAGAGUACUGUAGAGGAAGUGGAAUUUCCGGUGUAGCAGUGAAAUGCGUAGAUAUCGGAAGGAACAUCAGUGGCGAAGGCGACUUCCUGGACAGAUACUGACACUGAGGCACGAAAGCGUGGGGAGCAAACAGG